UACAUUGAAACUUUAGAAUUUAUAAAAAUGAAAUUUAUUGUUUUAAUUGUACUGGUCCUUUUGGCGGCUCAAGCAAGCUGUCUUAGAACUACACCCAGAAUCCCUCGAACCAGAAGGACAAGUCGAGGAAGUGGCAGGUCAGGAUGGUGAAAUCCUGCUAAUGGCACUAGAAGGCCACAGGUAGAUGUGGAAAUGCAUUAAACCAAUUUGUCUUCAUAUUCGAAUGGGAAAAUAAAGCGUAACACAUUUCAAACAUAAACAA
rnacentral:sRNA from 1 species